GUCCGUUAGCUCAAGAGGUGAGAGCAGUGGCCUUAUAAGCCAAAGGUUUUGAGUUCGAGUCUCAAACGGACUA
rnacentral:tRNA from 1 species